UACGAAGGGGGCAAGCGUUGUUCGGAAUUACUGGGCGUAAAGGGCGCGUAGGCGGCUUAUCAAGUCAGGCGUGAAAUUCCCGGGCUCAACCUGGGGGCUGCGCUUGAUACUGAUGAGCUUGAAUGCGGGAGAGGAUAGUGGAAUUCCCAGUGUAGAGGUGAAAUUCGUAGAUAUUCGGAAGAACACCAGUGGCGAAGGCGACUAACUGGACAUGUAUUGACGCUGAGGUGCGAAAGCGUGGGGAGCAAACAGG
rnacentral:rRNA from 1 species